GGAUUAGAUACCCUGGUAGUCCACGCCGUAAACGAUGUCUACUAGUUGUCGGGAGACUUGAUCUUUUGGUAACGAAGCUAACGCGAUAAGUAGACCGCCUGGGGAGUACGGCCGCAAGGUUAAAACUCAAAUGAAUUGACGGGGGCCCGCACAAGCGGUGGAGCAUGUGGUUUAAUUCGAAGCAACGCGAAGAACCUUACCUACUCUUGACAUCCUGCGAACUUGGUAGAGAUACCUUGGUGCCUUCGGGAACGCAGAGACAGGUGCUGCAUGGCUGUCGUCAGCUCGUGCCG
rnacentral:rRNA from 1 species